rnacentral:rRNA from 1 species
AUUGAACGCUGGCGGCAGGCCUAACACAUGCAAGUCGAGCGAGCGGCGGACGGGUGAGUAAUGUAUGGGGACUGCCCGAUAGAGGGGGAUAACUACUGGAAACGGUGGCUAAUACCGCAUACUAUCGGAUAACCCAUAUGGGAUUAGCUAGUAGGUGGGGUAAAGGCUCAACUAGGAGACGAUCUCUAGCUGGUCUGAGAGGAUGAUCAGCCACACUGGGACUGAGACAGGGCCCAGACUCCUCCGGAAGCAGCAGUGGGGAAUAUUGCACAAGGAGCGCAAGUCUGAUGCAGCCAUGCCGCGUGUACGAAGAAGGCCUUGGGGUUGUAAAGUACUUUCAUCGGGGAGGCGUUACCCGCAGAAGAAGCACCGGCUAACUCCGUGCCAGCCGCCGCGGUAAUUC